GGGCGUGGACACCUGCUUCUGGCUGGGACUCUCCAACCAGAAAUGCGACAAGGUCUGGUGUGGCUUUGAAGGCGGGAGCCAGAAGCUGGCCUGGUCCGAUGGCCAGACAAUAAAGCACACCAACUGGGCCCCAAAUCAACUCGAAAGCGCCGACGUCGCGUCCUGCGCCUACGUCGCCCAAAAGCUUUGGAAGAAUUCCGGGAAGUGGAGGUCUGGCUCCUGCGCUUCCUCCUUAGCCUACAUGUGCA